rnacentral:rRNA from 2 species
AAGGGGCUGGGCGAUUCUAUAAUGCAGUCGUACGCACUGGCCCAACUGAUUGAUGGUGCUUGCACCUGAUUGACGAUGGAUCACCAGUGAGUGGCGGACGGGUGAGUAACACGUAGGUAACCUGCCCCGGAGCGGGGGAUAACAUUUGGAAACAGAUGCUAAUACCGCAUAACAACAAAAGCCACAUGGCUUUUGUUUGAAAGAUGGCUUUGGCUAUCACUCUGGGAUGGACCUGCGGUGCAUUAGCUAGUUGGUAAGGUAACGGCUUACCAAGGCGAUGAUGCAUAGCCGAGUUGAGAGACUGAUCGGCCACAAUGGAACUGAGACACGGUCCAUACUCCUACGGGAGGCAGCAGUAGGGAAUCUUCCACAAUGGGCGCAAGCCUGAUGGAGCAACACCGCGUGAGUGAAGAAGGGUUUCGGCUCGUAAAGCUCUGUUGUUGGAGAAGAACGUGCGUGAGAGUAACUGUUCACGCAGUGACGGUAUCCAACCAGAAAGUCACGGCUAACUACGUGCCAGCAGCCGCGGUAAUACGUAGGUGGCAAGCGUUAUCCGGAUUUAUUGGGCGUAAAGCGAGCGCAGGCGGUUGCUUAGGUCUGAUGUGAAAGCCUUCGGCUUAACCGAAGAAGUGCAUCGGAAACCGGGCGACUUGAGUGCAGAAGAGGACAGUGGAACUCCAUGUGUAGCGGUGGAAUGCGUAGAUAUAUGGAAGAACACCAGUGGCGAAGGCGGCUGUCUGGUCUGCAACUGACGCUGAGGCUCGAAAGCAUGGGUAGCGAACAGGAUUAGAUACCCUGGUAGUCCAUGCCGUAAACGAUGAGUGCUAGGUGUUGGAGGGUUUCCGCCCUUCAGUGCCGGAGCUAACGCAUUAAGCACUCCGCCUGGGGAGUACGACCGCAAGGUUGAAACUCAAGGAAAAUUUGACGGGAAAAAA